rnacentral:misc_RNA from 1 species
UUGCCCGUCACACCAUGGGAGUGGGUUGCUCCAGAAGUAGCUAGUCUAACCGCAAGGGGGACGGUUACCACGGAGUGAUUCAUGACUGGGGUGAAGUCGUAACAAGGUAGCCGUAGGGGAACCUGCGGCUGGAUCACCUCCUUAAUCGAAGAUCUCAGCUUCUUCAUAAGCUCCCACACGAAUUGCUUGAUUCACUGGUUAGACGAUUGGGUCUGUAGCUCAGUUGGUUAGAGCGCACCCCUGAUAAGGGUGAGGUCGGCAGUUCGAAUCUGCCCAGACCCACCAAUUGUUGGUGUGCUGCGUGAUCCGAUACGGGGCCAUAGCUCAGCUGGGAGAGCGCCUGCUUUGCACGCAGGAGGUCAGGAGUUCGAUCCUCCUUGGCUCCACCAUCCAAACAAUCGUCGAAAGCUCAGAAAUGAAUGUUCGUGAAUGAACAUUGAUUUCUGGUCUUUGCACCAGAACUGUUCUUUAAAAAUUCGGGUAUGUGAUAGAAGUAAGACUGAAUGAUCUCUUUCACUGGUGAUCAUUCAAGUCAAGGUAAAAUUUGCGAGUUCAAGCGCGAAUUUUCGGCGAAUGUCGUCUUCACAGUAUAACCAGAUUGCUUGGGGUUAUAUGGUCAAGUGAAGAAGCGCAUACGGUGGAUGCCUUGGCCCCACAGGCGAAA